GGAAUUCGCCCUUAGAGUUUGAUNAUGGCUCAGGAUGAACGCUAGCGACAGGCUUAACACAUGCAAGUCGAGGGGCAGCGGAGCUGGAAGCUUGCUUUCAGCUGCCGGCGACCGGCGCACGGGUGAGUAACACGUAUGCAACCUGGCCGUGACAGAUGGAUAACCGGGAGAAAUUCCGCCUAAUACAGCAUAAUACCUGGAAAGGACAUCCUUUCCAGGUCAAAGGAAGCGAUUCCGGUCACGGAUGGGCAUGCGGCGCAUUAGGUAGUUGGUGAGGUAACGGCUCACCAAGCCGACGAUGCGUAGGGGUUCUGAGAGGAAGGUCCCCCACAUUGGAACUGAGACACGGUCCAAACUCCUACGGGAGGCAGCAGUGAGGAAUAUUGGUCAAUGGCCGGAAGGCUGAACCAGCCAAGUCGCGUGAGGGAAUAAGGCCCUACGGGUCGUAAACCUCUUUUGUCAGGGAGCAAAGCUGGCUACGUGUGGCCAGAAGGAGAGUACCUGAAGAAAAAGCAUCGGCUAACUCCGUGCCAGCAGCCGCGGUAAUACGGAGGAUGCGAGCGUUAUCCGGAUUUAUUGGGUUUAAAGGGUGCGUAGGCGGACUGAUAAGUCAGCGGUAAAAUUGCGGGGCUCAACCCCGCCGAGCCGUUGAAACUGUCGGUCUUGAGUGAGCGAGAAGUAUGCGGAAUGCGUGGUGUAGCGGUGAAAUGCAUAGAUAUCACGCAGAACCCCGAUUGCGAAGGCAGCAUACCGGCGCUCAACUGACGCUGAGGCACGAAAGUGCGGGGAUCAAACAGGAUUAGAUACCCUGGUAGUCCGCACAGUAAACGAUGAAUGCUAGUUGUUCGGGGAGAAUGAUCCCUGAGUGACACAGCGAAAGCGUUAAGCAUUCCACCUGGGGAGUACGCCGGCAACGGUGAAACUCAAAGGAAUUGACGGGGGCCCGCACAAGCGGAGGAACAUGUGGUUUAAUUCGAUGAUACGCGAGGAACCUUACCCGGGCUCAAACGACGGAGGAAUUACUUUUGAAAGGAGGUAAGCCAGCAAUGGUCUCCGUCGAGGUGCUGCAUGGUUGUCGUCAGCUCGUGCCGUGAGGUGUCGGCUUAAGUGCCAUAACGAGCGCAACCCCUAUCGACAGUUGCUAACAGGUGGAGCUGAGGACUCUGUCGAGACUGCCGGCGCAAGCUGUGAGGAAGGCGGGGAUGACGUCAAAUCAGCACGGCCCUUACGUCCGGGGCGACACACGUGUUACAAUGGCAGGUACAGCGGGAAGCGACCGAGCGAUCGGGAGCGGAACCCGAAAACCUGUCUCAGUUCGGAUUGGAGUCUGCAACCCGACUCCAUGAAGCUGGAUUCGCUAGUAAUCGCGCAUCAGCCAUGGCGCGGUGAAUACGUUCCCGGGCCUUGUACACACCGCCCGUCAAGCCAUGGGAGCCGGGAGUGCCUGAAGGCCGUGACCGCGAGGAGCGGCCUAAGGUAAAACCGGUGACUGGGGCUAAGUCGUAACAAGGUACCGUAAAGGGCGNNUUCUNCAGAUAUCCAUC
rnacentral:rRNA from 1 species